rnacentral:rRNA from 1 species
UACAGAGGGCCCGAGCGUUGUUCGGAUUCACUGGGCGUAAAGGGUGCGUAGGUGGUGAGGUAAGUCGGAUGUGAAAUCUCCGGGCUCAACCCGGAAAUGGCAUUGGAAACUACCUUGCUGGAGGAUUUGAGGGGGGAUUGGAAUACUUGGUGUAGCAGUGAAAUGCGUAGAUAUCAAGUGGAACACCAGUGGCGAAGGCGAAUCCCUGGAAAAUACCUGACACUGAGGCACGAAAGCGAGGGGAGCAAACAGG